AAAAAGUGACUUUAGCCUAGUGGUUCUAAAAGAAAUUACCAGUGCUAGAGGUGCUGGGUUCAAUUACCUUUAACUGCAUUUAUUUAUUUUGGCCCUAAAUAUAAAAUGGGACACGUGUCACUCCCAAAACGCACGAAUUGAUGACGUGGCUUCACGGGAGAGAGGCGAACAUUUCUUUAUAUAUAUAGAUAUAUAACAUUAAC
rnacentral:lncRNA from 1 species